CCGUCAGAAUUGCCGGAGCUUCAAAGGUGCCAAAGGAGGUAAAUGUGUGAAGCAGCCCAAACACAAACCUAUCAAAUGCUUCUGCGACUACUGCAAAGACGACUAGACUUCACAAAAAACGCCUUAAAUAGAACCACUGGUUCUAGCUUCACUCUCCAAACGCAACCACCCCUUCUCGACCUAAAUGUUUGUAAUUUCCAUAUAAAUUUUAUAAAAUGUAUCUUUGAUGUUUGUUUGUCCCAGCAUUUUCAUGUAUUCUCGGCAUCAUAAAUCAUAACAAUAUUUCCCCAGUUGCUAAAAAUAAAGGAACGUCUGUAAACAAUGUUGUCAUAAUUUUCAUGUCUUAUCAAAGAACAUGAUGAAAAGAUAAGUGACAAUCAGUAGUACGAAGGAUCAUUAUGACAAGCUAGUGUCGGAGGAGCUUAAACACAAGGCCCACAAUGUAGAAAAUACAGGAUACUUUUCAUUUUUAUAUUAAAGUAAACAACACACAUCUAAUAAAAAUAAAUAAUGGAUGGAUUUUUCAUAUGAAAUCAAACUAUUAAAAAAAUUAUUAACAAAUUUAUUAGUUUAUUUAAAUCCAAACUAAUACAUAAUUUUAUUUUAUAAAAUUUAUAUUCUAAUUAUCCAACAUAAACACAAACCUACGUAUAACUUUGUUAAUUAUGAACUUUAGAUCCUAAUUUUUUUUUAAUUUAAAACUAUAUAUAUAUAUAUAUAUAUAUAUAUCUUCGUUUCAUUAUACUUUACUCUUUAUUUAUAAAUUUAAACUGACAUAUAAUCUCCUUAAACUGUUAUAAUGGAGUUUCAUAAGAUCAGAAACGAAGUUAUAAAGAUUGAGUCUUUUAAUUUUAGGAAAAAUAAAUAAUGGAGCUUUCAGAAGACCGUAUGAAAACGUCUUCCUAGACAUAUCUAGAACGCACCAUUAUUAUUAUUAUUUUCCUUUUUGGUUUAAUAUACAUAUAAAUAUAUACAAAAAAUUUCUUAUAAAAUAAUGAAUCCCAACAAAUCAUUAUAAAACAGUAAUGGCCGUACAACCCUUAUCCAGAUUGUAGCAAUACAGGAUGCUUUUAAAUAACACGUACGUGUAUUGUUGAUAUAUGAUGCCAUGUCACGUGUGUGUGUGUGUGUGUGCGCGCCUUUACAAUUCCAAGAUGUGGUCCUGUGGACCGAGCACAAUAAAAAAGGUCAAUUUUACUCUUGCAACGUCCUUGAACGAUGCACAAUAGCUAAACACACGGUUAAAGUAGUACAAUUUAUGAAAACAUAAUCUGUCGAUUAAUAAAAAGAGUAAGAGAAUGCAAAUCUAAGUGGAACUUAAAAAAUAAAAAUUAAGAGAGAAUAAUGUCCAAUUAGAAGUUCGUUUUUGAAUUCCAAGCAAUGCAACGAUGAAGUUUCAGUCACCCAGCAUUACCAUCUUCCAUGGAAGAUAGUUGAAACCGUUUCUCCCCUCCGAGAUAUCUGAACAAAAUUAUGAAGACACAAGAUCAGAAUUCUAGAAAAUAAGCCUUACAUUACAUGAGUAAAGCAGAAGAAUCUUGAGGAGAGAAAUCUGAAAGUUUUUGUGAACUCAUGAGGGUGACGCAACGAUGAAGAACAUAUCUCUAAACAGAUUUAUAUAAGGAUCAUGAAUUUUUUUUGAAGAUGUAUCGUUUCCCAAAAGGACUUGUAGGAGGACACGAUGUCACACUGUUCUUUUUUCUUUCCGUCGACUCUUCAGUUUUGAUUUAGUUAUUUUGCUUAAUUCAGUAAUUUAUUUAAU
rnacentral:lncRNA from 1 species